rnacentral:rRNA from 1 species
ACGGCGUACCAAGGCGACGACGGGUAGCCGGCCUGAGAGGGUGUCCGGCCACACUGGGACUGAGAUACGGCCCAGACUCCUACGGGAGGCAGCAGUGGGGAAUAUUGCACAAUGGGCGCAAGCCUGAUGCAGCGACGCCGCGUGGGGGGAUGACGGCCUUCGGGUUGUAAACCUCUUUCAGCAGGGACGAAGCGCAAGUGACGGUACCUGCAGAAGAAGCACCGGCCAACUACGUGCCAGCAGCCGCGGUAAUACGUAGGGUGCGAGCGUUGUCCGGAAUUACUGGGCGUAAAGAGCUCGUAGGUGGUUUGUCGCGUUGUUCGUGAAAACCGGGGGCUUAACCCUCGGCGUGCGGGCGAUACGGGCAGACUGGAGUACUGCAGGGGAGACUGGAAUUCCUGGUGUAGCGGUGGAAUGCGCAGAUAUCAGGAGGAACACCGGUGGCGAAGGCGGGUCUCUGGGCAGUAACUGACGCUGAGGAGCGAAAGCGUGGGGAGCGAACAGGAUUAGAUACCCUGGUAGUCCACGCCGUAAACGGUGGGUACUAGGUGUGGGUUUCCUUCCUUGGCAAUCCGUGCCGUAGCUAACGCAU